rnacentral:rRNA from 1 species
GACGAACGCUGGCGGCGUGCUUAACACAUGCCAGUCGAACGGAAAGGCCCUGCUUUUGUGGGGUGCUCGAGUGGCGAACGGGUGAGUAACACGUGAGUAACCUGCCCUUGACUUUGGGAUAACUUCAGGAAACUGGGGCUAAUACCGGAUAGGAGCUCCUGCUGCAUGGUGGGGGUUGGAAAGUUUCGGCGGUUGGGGAUGGACUCGCGGCUUAUCAGCUUGUUGGUGGGGUAGUGGCUUACCAAGGCUUUGACGGGUAGCCGGCCUGAGAGGGUGACCGGCCACAUUGGGACUGAGAUACGGCCCAGACUCCUACGGGAGGCAGCAGUGGGGAAUAUUGCACAAUGGGCGGAAGCCUGAUGCAGCAACGCCGCGUGCGGGAUGACGGCCUUCGGGUUGUAAACCGCUUUCGCCUGAGACGAAGCGUGAGUGACGGUAAUGGGUAAAGAAGCACCGGCUAACUACGUG